rnacentral:lncRNA from 1 species
UCUUUAUAUUUUAUCAACUCCCAUGUAAAAAUAAGAUACAUGGGACAAAGUAAGAUUGAAUUUUAGAAAUCUGAAUUUUUUAUUUGUUUAUAGUAUAAAGUGAAACAGAAUUAAUGCACAAAAAUGGUAUGGUUCAAAACCUCAGUCAAUAAAAUAUGGGAAGGCAAGGAAUUAAAGUGCAUAGACUUUCAAUUGAGAUCUUUAGGCAGAAAAUAACCUCAUUGUCUCUGAACAAAAAAUGUAAUUGUGGUAAACUUCAAUUUUACACAUUCUUUUUUUUUUUUUUGAGGAAAGUUGGUUGCAUGGAGUUCAUUCCUUAAGAGAAGAAAAAAAUCAACAAAUAAAUGACCUCAUAUUACAUCUCAAAGCAUAAUUUUACACAUUCUAAUAGUUAAAGAGAACUGAUAGGAAAAUUGAGUCACAAAGUCAGUUGCUAACUGUCACCAAGAGAUAAACUAAAGUGUGCAUUAGUCAAUUUGAGCUGGGACCUAUGUAGUUAAAAUAGGAGUUCCCCCCAUCAUAAUGGAUUAUAACAAGGAUUAAUUUCUCAUUCAACCACAUGUGUUUUGGGGUUCUGAUUCUGCUCUCAUUUUCUUUUUUCUUUACUGAAGCCAAUGGUGAAAUUUCUGCCUCAAAUGUUGUCUUAUACUUAACAUCCCAAACAAGAUAAACUCUAUUCUAUUUCAUAGCUUCUGCCUUAAGUUCACCUAUUUCAAUGCUAUCUAACCUUUUAUUGGCCAGAACAUACCCUAAGGCUACUACAGAGUCCAAAAAGGCAAGAAUAGAUAAUCCUCUAGUAAAGGAGAAAUUUGUCAUAUUUGUCCAUCCACAAUGCCAAAUUAAGGACAGGGUGUAGCUCAGUAGUAGAUUGCUUGCUUCAUGUUUGUGAGACCCUAGAUUUGAUUCUUAGCAUUAAAGGAGGGUGAGGGGGAGCAAACUAGUUUUGCAUCUCUAUGGCAAAUGCCUUUGCACAAUGAGUUAUCCUGAGUCAAGUUAUCCUGAUGUAAGUGCAUGUAUGUUUGAUGUAUAGCAAGGACUAAAGGGGAAGAUAGCACUUGUUCUAAAGGAAUUAGCUCGCUUUAGCUCUCACUCAUAGUUGUAUGAGGAAAUACUUUCCAAGUAUUUUUCAUUCUUAGUUUUAAAUUAGUUUUAAAUUUUAAAGAAUCACUAGGACUCCAGAUUUGUUAUAUAAAAUUGCCCUCUUUUAAAAUAUUAUUAACACAGAAUACAUGUUUUAAUAGAAAUUAUCCCCAUACCUAGCAAUUUGUUAUAUAGGAAAAUCAUAUAACAUCUUGGAAAGAGUGAUAUUUCAUUUAGUAACUGC